GCCAUCUUACAAUAGUGUGGUCAUGUAAGGACUCCUCAACUCGCCUUUCUCAUCACCCUGCUCUUCGCCACUCUUUUGUAUUCUAGCCCUGAAAGGAUCAAAAACAAUAGGGAGGAGGACAUGGAUCCCCGGAAAUGGGUCAUGAUGGAGUAUUUCUAGAAAAGUUUACCAAGUGGAUUCUGGGCACCCAACACCAGGGGGCCCAUAAGAGAAGCCAAGGAUGUUCCUACUAGAGUCAUAUACACAAGAAGAACACCACACUCCAGACAGGUGUGUCUAGUACAGAGAGAAGCCGGACUGGCAUUCCCCAGAAAUAGGACAUUAUGCACACACAUGCAUGCACACGGACACACACACACACACACACACACACACAAACACGGUAUUCUAAAAGUCUUAGUGCAGUUUUAAACUUUCAUAACUUUGAAAGUAUGAAUGCUACCAACUUACAAAAAUCAUGUGAAAGGCCAAUUAUUUAAAUGUUGUCUAUUCUUCUAUGCUAUACUUAUUAGAGUUCUACAAUCUUUUGUGAAUUUUGAAGAACGUUUUUAAUUUUAACUUUUUGUUUCAGUCAACAUUGCCAUGUUCAGUCAGAGGUGCUGAAAGGUUUUAUAAUAUAUGACAUGCCUACAAUCCAUACAGCAAAUGAGCCAUAUCAUACAAGAAACGUGCAACUAAAAUCUUUGCGUGUUCUACUGUUAAAACUACAUCACUCCAAACUAAGAUUGUAGCACUGGCUUUCUUUUAAAUUAAAAAAAAAAAUACCUAAAACACUACUUUUUGUUAAUACCAAUUCAAUCUUAUCUUCUUGGAUUCAGUUCAUUCUGCUAAAAUCCUUAUGGAUCCUUGUUUUCCUACCAGAUGAUUUCAUCCACACACCAUCAAUGUUCUCAAAUGGACAUUUCUAGCCACACUAAACUAUACAGAACCCACAUCAGAACCCCAUUGGCAUGACUUUCAGCACAUAGUCCCUUCUAUCAGCAUGACCUUAUGGGCCAACUCUAAUAGAGAUUUCCUCCACACACUGACAUCAAUCUAUAAAUCAAUACCUCUUGGACAAGACAGUUCUAGCAAUUAAAAACACAAUGACCUAUGUCCUUCAGACCAUAUAUUUUUAUCUUAGUCAAAAGGAUUUCAAGAGAAGUUCUGUCAAGUGUACCAACGCACUGCUCACAUGAUCUCACAGCAUUCUUCUGACCUACCAGCAAGAAAUCAUCCUGGUAACGGAACUUCUCCGGUCCACAUGCAAUAAAAAUGUCAUCGUCACCAAAAAAGUCCUGAAG